rnacentral:lncRNA from 1 species
AGGAGUUGGGUUGAGUUUGGGUCUUGAGCAAGAAUAGGGACAAGAUCUUAAGAGAUUGUCUAUCAAGGCUUCAUGAAGGUUUAGAGAAGUCUAGAAGUGUCAUGAAGGCUGUGCAAAGAUAGGGUUUGAGUCCAGGAGGGACUUAGACACCAUUUGGAGACAGAUGGGUGAUGGUGCAAAGAUAGGGCGACCAGAUGAUCAGACGGUACGGACGGUACAAAACUGGACGGGCCGGGCAAUCUUAGGGCGACCCAAACCGAGUCAGGUCUAACCAUUGGAGAUGUUUGGGUGAGAUGUGCAAAAAUAGGGCGAGGUACGGACAGGCGGUACGUACCAUCAACCGUACUUCACCCAGGAUCGACCAGAAGUUGUGCAAACUUAGGGCGUCGGUUUAGAGAGCGAUUAGGCGACCUUGUCUGAUUGUAAUCAGACUGUUUGUGGAUAAGGAAGAGAGAGGACGUGGUCAACAAGGACAGGCUGUCAAGAGGUGUAAAAGGAAAGCAAAGGGGACCAUGUAUCUAGCUAAAGAAGUGGGAAGGUUCAUGGGAGCCUUUGAGGAACCAAUCAGAAGCCUGCCCUUGCCUUGACCAGUUUGAAUGGACCAAUCACCAGCCAGCCUUCCUUAACCAAUCAGAAGCCAUCACCAAGAUUGCAAAGACCAAAACAAGACUACAUCCAAGCCAUCCAUUUCACAAGUCAUUUCUAGCCAUUAGAUUAAGGGUUUCUAAUGUUUCAAAGUGUAAAGCUUAUAAAAGCAUGUGUAUGGACGAAAAUUAAAGCUCUUAAGAGAGUAUGGGGGAUUUCCCCAUCUCCUUCAUAUUAUAAAGUAUGUUCUUGAUCAGAUUCUCUUAAUCUCUCCCUUUCUUAGUCUCUAAUCUCUUAAUCUCUCAAAGUCUCUUUGUUUCUGAUCUAAGUUCAUACUAGUUCAUCAGAUUCUUUCUUCACCAUUUCAAGACUCUAUUCUGCCCUAAGAGGCUUGUUCUUCACACACACAUCCUAGACUCUUAAAUCUCAUAUGGUAUCAGAGCCAGGUUCAUUAGAACUUGGUUCAAGCUUCCGCUAAGCUCAAGGCUUCUCCCAUGUCAUUUCCAAACCAAGAAGAAGCUUCAUGUUCAGCCUGCUGUAAAACCUCUCCAAGAAGAAGGUGGGCUCAUACAUGGCGUCCAGUAGCUGUCUCUGGUUGUUCUCCACGUUCUCAUGUCCACCCUUGAAGAAAGAAGGCCUUGGAAGCAAAGGUUAUGAAGUGGUCUAGCUAGCCUCUUCAACAAACCAGAUCCAGGCGAGUCUCAUGGUGAUUCUCAUGAAGAAAGGUGGUCUCUUUGACAUGGUGGGUUCAAGAGGAAGGUCCAUGGAAGCAGGAGAUGUUGGGGUCGACACCAACAGCUCAGAUCUUGCCAUGUACUAAGGAGUUUCAAGGAACUAACACUAGUUCCUUGGCUGUAAGGAAAUCUCUUUCUCUUGUAUAAAGCUUGAGUAUUUGAACUGAAAAUUAUAUUAAACUGAUUGUGAUGUGGUGUUGUGAUUGAAAACUUGAGGAUAUAUUAAAGAUUGCUAAAUAAAAUGAAAUGAAUUUAGAAUCUGUCCCAUAAUGCUUAAAAAGUCUUGUUUGGUGGUUGAAAAGUUUAAAAAUGCUUAACCCUGAUUCUAGUGAGGCUUGUUAGGGAGUUAGAAGUUGUCUAAACCUGAUUGCUUUCAUGAAAUGAGAUCACCUAAGGUUAUGCAUUGGGUCUGAUAUUGGUUGUUGAUAGUAGUGCUUAACUAAGGUUCAUAGUGAUGCUUGUUGUGAUUGCUUAAAUCUGCUUGCAUACAUGGAUUGAAACCGUUUUAAAGUUAUUGCAUACUGUCUUGUGGCUGUCUUACAUUGAAGCAUUAGAUUCAUGUCUAAAUUGCUGAGUAAAGAAGCUUUAAAAAUUGCCUAAGUAGCUUGUAUUGAAUCUGUUAAGAUCAUGCUUGUGCUUAGAGAGUUUGCUUGCAAAGAUUAGAACUUGAAAAUGACUUGUUUAAUCUGUUGCAAUGCUUGUGAUAUUGGGAAUCAAACUUGAUGAUUAAUCAAGGAUUGAUCCCAAUACUAUUGUGUCUUAUCUUUGCUGGAGUUUGAGUGAUGUUUCAGGUUCACAAGAAGUGUUCUUUGCUCACCAUCCAUCCGAGUAUAAGAGGAAGACUUGUUGCCCAUUGUGUGUGCAAUGGAGAGUGGUUACUAGUGUGAUAUGGCGCCACUGGUGUGAAGUCUCACUGAAGCUCACUUCAAGCUUGAACCUAGAUUAGGCCAAGCUUGAGGAGGGGAGUUGAGUGAGCUUCCUAGGCAAUCCAAGAAGUCCAUUGCAAGCACCUGAAGAAGGAGCCAUCCGGGUUUAGGCUGUGGCGAGUCUAUUCAAGAGAGUACUCAAACUAAGACAGAGUACUCUUGGCUGUGAGAAGAUUAAGGCUACUCUAUCAAGGCGGCUUCUAGUGUGAGGUGGUUGAAGAGAUAGCUGAGGCUUCCACAAGCAUUCCAUUCAAGAUGGCGAGUUCAAGAAGAGGCUGCAAUGGUGUGUGUGUGUUGAUCAUGAAGCCAUCCGUUCAAGCUUGUUCCUGUGAGAGUCUCAAGCUUGAGGGGGAGUGUUGAAGCUUACAUGAUCAGAAUGAGCUUGGUGGUUAUUCUAGAAGAGGAAGCAACCUGUUGGGAAGUAUGAUGAAGGAUGAAGAAGCAAUGUCCAAGGCGGCUUCAAGUGUUGAGGUGAUUGGAGAGUGGCUGAAACAUCCUCAUGUAGUUCCAGCAACAAGGUGGCGACUCUAGAAGAAGAAGAAGCAGCCAAGACUCAGCAAGAGUGUUGUAUCUCCAAGAAGAGGCUGAUAUGGUGUGUCCGAGCACUUCAACCUAACAAGAGAUUAGGUGAAAGGGGGAGAGACCAAGAUCAGGCAGUAAGGAGAGUACAAGGCGUGGGGAGAAUGAAGAGGCCAUGAUCCAGAGUCUUUGUGUCCCUUACAUUGUUGGUAAGGCACAAAGACUCACUGGCCAAUCCCUAGGCCAUGGAGACUUUACUCUUUUUCCCUCAUCAAGGUUUUGUCCCAAAGGGUUUUCCUUGGUGAGGUUUUUAAUGAGGAAGUUCUUCAAGGUUCCAAGCUUGACUUAGGAUCAGCUAAAGUCAAGCUUGAGGGGGAGUGUUGACUUGAAGAAAGAAAUGGAGACAAAGGAGGAGUUGGGUUGAGUUUGGGUCUUGAGCAAGAAUAGGGACAAGAUCUUAAGAGAUUGUCUAUCAAGGCUUCAUGAAGGUUUAGAGAAGUCUAGAAGUGUCAUGAAGGCUGUGCAAAGAUAGGGUUUGAGUCCAGGAGGGACUUAGACACCAUUUGGAGAUAGUUGGGUGAUGGUGCAAAGAUAGGGCGUCUCGAGGUUCAGACGGUACUGACGGUACGGACAAACCGUGCAAACUUAGGGCGACCCAGAACCUGAUCACACUCAACCAUUGGAGAUGUUUGGGUGAGAUGUGCAAACUUAGGGCGCGGUACGGACAGGCGGUCCGUACCAUCAACCGUACUUCACCCAGGAUCGACCAGAAGUUGUGCAAACUUAGGGCGUCGGUUUAGAGAGCGAUUAGGCGACCUUGUCUGAUUGUAAUCAGACUGUUUGUGGAUAAGGAAGAGAGAGGACGUGGUCAACAAGGACAGGCUGUCAAGAGGUGUAAAGGGAAAGCAAAGGGGACCAUGUAUCUAGCUAAAGAAGUGGGAAGGUUCAUGGGAGCCUUUGAGGAACCAAUCAGAAGCCAGCCCUUGCCUUGACCAGUUUGAAUGGACCAAUCACCAGCCAGCCUUCCUUAACCAAUCAGAAGCCAUCACCAAGAUUGCAAAGACCAAAACAAGACUACAUCCAAGCCAUCCAUUUCACAAGUCAUUUCUAGCCAUUAGAUUAAGGGUUUCUAAUGUUUCAAAGUGUAAAGCUUAUAAAAGCAUGUGUAUGGACGAAAAUUAAAGCUCUUAAGAGAGUAUGGGGGUUUUCCCAUCUCCUUCAUAAUUAUAAAAGUGUGUUCUUGAUCAGAUUCCCUUAAUCUCUCCCUUUCUUAGUCUCUAAUCUCUUAAUCUCUCAAAGUCUCUUUGUUUAUGAUCUAAGUUCAUACUAGUUUCAUCAGAUUCUUUCUUCACCAUUUCAAGACUCUAUUCUGCCCUAAGAGGCUUGUUCUUCACACACACAUCCUAGACUCUUAAAUCUCAUAUGG